rnacentral:sRNA from 1 species
ACAGAUGGUGAGUCAACAAAAGGUACAAUUUGAGAACUCCCUCUUGGUGUCUAGGAUAUAAAAGAAAGUCAAGAACCUGAACCAGCCCACCAACAACAAUGAAAAGUCAGCAGUUUGCAACCUGGAAGAGGGUCCUCACCAGAACCUGACCAGGCUGGCACACUCAUCUCAGACUUCCAGCCUCCAGAGGCUGGUCUGCGAUUUGCUGUGGCUGACAGAAUAUGAUGAAGUGAUGUUAUAUGGGUUCCUUGCUCAGCCUUUAAGUGGUCUUGGAGCUACUGCUCUCUACUCCACACUGCUACCACCAUCUGAAGAGCCCCACAGUAGGAGACACUUGGCCCAGAUAAUCACAAAGAAAAAGAGUAUGCAGUGAGAAGGACAAGUCUCAUAACCACAUGUUGUUAAUGAAGAAGCUGAGGCACCAAGCAACUUAAGGAUUUGACCAAGAUCAGAUAGCACAGCAGAUUCAAAGAUAAUGCCAGCUCAUGAUCUCCUUUUCUGGUGCUGUUUACACCGUGAUACUUCAACACUGAAAGAAAUACCUAUCAAUUCUCUUACUACUUUAAAGAUGCAUUUUUACUGUCUCCAGGCAUCCUCUAAUUUUAUGUUUCUAUUUGUUUCAUAUAGUUUAGGUUAUUAACUCCUAAAGGCUAGGGCAUACAUUUUGAAAUUUUUUUUCUCAGGACGUUAGGAACCUUAAUAAAUUACUUUUGAUGGUUACUUUCCACAAGGCAAGA